GUCUAUGGCCAUACCACCCUGAACAUACCGGAUCUUGUCUGAUUUCAGAAGCUAAGCGGGGUCGGACCACAUUCAGUACUUAGAUGGGAGACUGGCCCAGAAUAUUGAGUACUGUAAGCU
rnacentral:rRNA from 2 species